AACGAACGCUGGCGGCGUGCCUAACACAUGCAAGUCGUACGGGAAAGUGGGCUUCGGCCCGCGAGUAGAGUGGCAGACGGGUGAGUAACACGUGGGUAACCUACCCGGAGGUGGAGGAUAACCUUCCGAAAGGAGGGCUAAUACCGCAUGACAUCUCAGGGGCCUCGGCCCCGGAGAGCAAAGCUAGCCUCUACAUGUAAGCUAGCGCCACCGGAUGGGCCCGCGGCCCAUUAGCAGUUGGUGGGGUAACGGCCCACCAAGGCGACGAUGGGUAGCCGGCCUGAGAGGGUGUCCGGCCACACUGGAACUGAGACACGGUCCAGACUCCUACGGGAGCAGCAGUGAGGAAUCUUGCGCAAUGGGCGAAAGCCUGACGCAGCGACGCCGCGUGGAGGACGAAGGUCUU
rnacentral:rRNA from 1 species